rnacentral:rRNA from 1 species
AUGGCUACACUACCUAUCAAAACAUGGGUGUGUAAUAUGUGCGGGCUUAAUGUACCGGCAUGGAGGAAUGUUGUGUUUCAAGUUGAUACCGCGGCAAAUCCAAGCAUUGUAUUCCUUAAAGAAACCAAGUUAGAGGUAGUGAUGACAGGCACUGUAGCUCAAUGUUUGGGUAAUAAAUUUGAGAAAUUCUACUAUCUUGCAGCCGACGACACGAGAGGCGGUAUUCUAUUGGCAUGGGAUCCAAUGACGGUACCCCUCUAA